GUAAUGGUACGUGUAACUCAAUAGAGUAUGUUGUAUAAGACGACGACGGCGAGUAGUGCUUGGGGACUGCCCGUGCCUGGACCAUUUGUGGACUGUGGAGCCUGGGCCCAUUGGGCAGGCACAGCCAGCUGUGAGAGACAGCGGCCCAUUGAAGGGCAGAGUUUUGGUCAGGGCGGUAGUCCAAGCUGAGACUCGGGAGCGUGGAAUGACACACGUGGAUCAUGAGAUCGAGGAUACACCUAGUGGGUAGUGACCCAACCCAAGGAUUCGACGUGGUUUGGGGUCUUAGUUGCUCCUGGUUGGAGUGUGUGCGAAUUCUCCAAUGAGAAUUUCGCUCAAUAGUGAUAAUUGGGUCUACAUUGGUGAGCGAGAGACACUACGCGUAGUUGAGACUGGUUUAAGCGACAGGUCUACGUAGGAUUGGUGACCUGUGGUUCACCUAUGGAUUUGAUGAAAAUGGUUGAGCGAGUAGCCUCAGUGAUGGGCGUGGCCUAGAAUGACGAACGGAUGUUCAUGUGGAUUCGUUGCAUGAACGAGUUGGUGAUGAUCGUGGCAUAUGGUAUUCGGGGAUAUACUGCUCGCGUGAGACAUUGAGCUAUUGGAAGCCACGAGAGGUAGAGGAUUGAAGUUGAUGCCCCUAAGUGAAUUGGAGCUUGAGGAUAAUGCUCUUUUAAGGGCUGAGUUGGAGAUGUGCCAAAGCGUGCCAUCCCGCGGUAGAGCAAGGGUCUGGUUGAAGAUUGGAGCACUCGCAGUGGGUCGAUGCACCAAUGAUAUUGCUUCUAGGCGAUAUUGGCGAUCGAAUUGGAGUGUGACCCCUAGAGGGAUGGUAAAAGUGACGAAGAGUCGUGAAUGAGAAAUACGAACUCUUGGAUAGCCAAAGUGGUGGAGCGCCGCUUUGUUAACAUUCGGGUGAUUCGAGAGGGCUUACCCGUGUGUGCUGUGUCGUGGUGGUGGACCAUAUGACUAUUGGUGCGUUCUUGAUAGCUCCACACCAUGAGGAUAGCGGGUAGUCCCGGUCUCGAGGGAGGUGGUUUGGCCUUAGUGGGCCAGUUAGCGAAUGGAGUUGGAGCGCGUAGAGCCGUUGAGCUUCGACUUGCGCUGCUACCAAGAAUAACGGAGAACGUAAUGCACCUUGCGAGAUGCGCCUUGCAAAGUUGUACGAGUUGGGUAUUGUACCCUCCGUGUUGGGCCUCUUGGAUAGUUGCAAAGAGGGUAAAGCCAAUCCGAACUAGAAAAGUGCAUUAGCGCCCUAAAUUGCUCAAGGAGCCGAAUUGAGGCGUGGUUUGAGUUUCGCGGACGAAACUCUUUUUAAGGAGGGUAGGAUGUAAGGUACCAGACUUCUAAAAUCAUGAGGUUACGGUGUACGUUCGAUUGGAGAGCCAUUUGAAUGGUUCCGGUAAGGUUGCGGUGUAAUGUAAUAUACCGGAUUUAAAUAUAAAAAUAAAAAAUAAAUAAAAAUAGUAUGAGAUACUAUUUUAUUGGAUUUAGAGAAGUAAAAUAUAAGUCAGAAGUGACUUGUGCUGAAAUCGGGAUGAAAACAGAAGAUCUGGAAUUUUCUGUUGGAAAUGGGACAGAAAAAUUAGCAGAAAAUGCACAGUCUCAGAAAAUUAUGAAAAUUGGAGGAUAUGUCAAAAAUAUUUUUAUGAGGCUAGAUUUAAGGUUUCAUAUUUUUCUGACACCCGUAGAGUGAGAAAUAAAAUCCGAGAGUUAUCUGCUAAAGAUUACAGUUCGGCACAGUUUUCAGUGACCAAACGGNAGGUUAGCAGGUUAGGGUUUAGUCAAGUCGUUGUGUUUCAGGAGCUAAUGGCACCAAGGAGACACUACGCGCGUAGAACCGUUCCGGCACCGCCUCCCGAGGUGCCCGAGCGAGCUGGGUCAAGUGAGGUGCAAGAAUUACGAGCGCAGAUGACUACGCUUAUCGGCGUGAUUCAACGUCAAGGAAGUCAGAUCGAGCGGCUCCAAGAGCUUUUGGAGCGACAAGUGGCGACAGCGGCCGUGACGACAACUGAAGGCCAAGGUCUGCCCGCGCCCUCGGCUUGCGCGCCUGAUGCGCCUAAGGGCGUGAGCAUUUUGGUGACUCCGGCGGUGGCGCAUCCCCUGCCGGUUAGUGUCCCUCUGGCGGCUUCGGGUCCUACGAUACUCGAUGCGGCAGCUGGGGAAGUGAGACAGGAACGCGAGGCGUUCAAGGAGAGUGGAGUGAAGAAACGGUCUGGUGGUGGUUCGGGGGAACAGUCUAGUUCCAAAAAGGCCCCGAGGUACCAAAAGGGGCGGUCCAUUAGACAAGGACCUAUGCGGUGCGUGAUCUGCGGUAGAGAGGAUCACGCAGCGACUUGUAAGGAUCGGGCGGGUCGGUGCUUCAAGUGUGGUCGGGCGGGACAUAUGGCCCGUCAAUGCGCGGAAGGAGUGCCACCUACCCCGUCAGUUGCAUCCGCCCCAGAGAUCCAGCGGUAGUUCGGUGGAGUUCCGUCUGCUACUGCCAUAUCUGCGGGGUGUGUGAUUUGUGGAGGAUCCCACCAAGCGCGGUGGUGUGUGCUGCGAGAGGGAAGGUGUUUUCGUUGUGGGCAGUCUGGCCACGUGAAAUAUGAUUGCCCCUUGGGCGAUGGACGACUCCCGCCGACAGCGACAACUUUCACCUCUCCAGGUCAGAUGGUGGAUGUGCAGCUUGUGGCACGGUCUGGAGAGCUUGUGGUGGUCGAGCGGCCGGAGGACUUUCAGGGAGCGCCAAGCGGCCCUGGAUACGCCGCUCAAGUCGAGGAACCUGCUGCUGUUGGUGAUGUCACCGCAGGUAUGAUUUAAUUAAGCAACCAUACAUUCUAGCAAGAAGCAGUUUGAGCAAAUGCAUACAUUUGCUUGUGGUCUUUUGCUACUAUCUACAUAUUGGUGUAGUAGAGACCAGGAUGCAGGUCAGAGGAGUCGCCCAGCAUGCCUAAGUCGUGGUGGUAUGUCGCCUACCUAAAGGGGAUUGGUGAUUAGUCAAUGCCGGCAAGUUGCUGGUGACGAACCAAGAGUAAGACUCCCUUUGGGGGAUCUGCGCGUUGUAGCGUGAGGCAGGGCACACCUAGCCGUACGUUGCUUGUAAGCAGUCGGCAAGGGUGUGGUAGAAAGGCAUUCGACGGAAUCGAUUGCCUGGUCUCCCUCCGAUGGUCUGGGAUGAGUUCGGGGAUUAGUAUCCUCCGUUUACUUCCCCGAUGGUGAUAGAGGGAAGCUUCAGGAUAAGUUUCCGAAGCUGUGGCAGAUAAACUGCACCGUGAGACGAUACGAGCGGGAGUUCUCCCGUGUCGUGAAAUGCAUCCUACACGUAGUGCGGAUGACGAGGACAUGGCCGAAUUGCUUGUGCGGAGAUUUCGGCUGGGCGUUGUUAAAGUCGUGUAUGUAGGGAAAGUGGAUUCUCGAAAUUCGAGGAUUUGACUUCGUCAAAUAUUGACAAAUUAUCGAGUGUGUGGGCUUCGGAAAAGUCGAAGAUGUCUAAAUCACCAAGAGUGCAUUGGAAUUGAGUCCGCGAGAGCCAAUAGUGCAAAGCCUGCACUUGUUGGAAGUUGCUCUCGGGGGCCGGUCCCUGGCAGGGAGAGACCGGUCCCCGUAGCUGAUUGGUGCGGGGUUGCUUGAUGUAACCGGUCCCUGGGCCAGAGGAACCGGUCCCCCCCCCCGUGUGCGAAAUCGACGAGAAGCGAAAAAUUGGCUAAGUCCCGGAAAUGCCACUCUCGGGAACCGGUCUCUCAGCAGGAACCGGUCUCCCGAGGACCGGUCUCUCGGGCAAGGACCGGUCCCCGUAGCUCAAAAUUGCCCAGUUUGGGGCAAUGCCCCUUCUGGAGUGCAAUCGCAAUCCCGAACCUCGAAGGUGUCUUCUAUUAACUUCCUUGGGAUGNNNNNNNNNNNNNNNNNNNNNNNNNAGCCUGGGCCCAUUGGGCAGGCACAGUCAGCUGUGAGAGACAGCGGCCCGGUACCUACGGGUAGGGCAGAGAUUUGGUCAAGACGGUAGUCCGAGCUUAGACCCGGGAGCGUGGAAUGCCACGUGUUGGAUCAUGAGAUCGAGGAUACACCGAGUGUGUAGUGACCCAACCCAAGGAUUCGACGUGGUUUGGGGUCUUAGUUGCUCCUGGUCGGAGUGUGUGCAAAUUCUCCAAUGAGAAUUUCGCCCAAUAGUGAUAAUUGGGUCUACACUGGUGAGCGAGAGACACUAUGUGUAGUUGAGACUGGUUUAAGCGACAGGUCUACGUAGGAUUGGUGAUCUGUGGUUCACCUAUGGAUCUGAUGAAAGUGGUUGAGCGAGUAGCCUCAGUGAUGGGCGUGGCCUAGAAUGACGAACGGAUGUUCAUGUGGAUUCAUUGCACGAACGAGUUGGUGAUGGUCGUGGCAUAUGGUAUUCGAGGAUAUACUGCUCGCGUGAGACAUUGAGCUAUUGGAAGCCACGAGAGGUAGAGGACUGAGGUUGAUGCCCCUAAGUGAAUUGGAGCUUGAGGAUAAUGCUCUUUAAGGGCUGAGUUGGAGAUGUGCCGAAGCGUGCCAUCCCGCGGUAGAGCAAGGGUCUGGUUGAAGAUUAGAGCACUCGCAGUGGGUCGAUGCACCAAUGAUAUUGCUUCUAGGCGAUAUUGGCGAUCGAAUUGGAGUGUGACCCCUAGAGGGAUGGUGAAAGUGACGAAGAGUCGUGAAUGAGAAAUACGAACUCUUGGAUAGCCAAAGUGGCGGAGCGCCGCUUUGUUGACAUUCGGGUGAUUCGAGAGGGCUUACCCGUGUGUGCUGUGUCGUGGUGGUGGACCAUAUGACUAUUGGUGCAUUCUUGAUAGCUCCACACCAUGAGGAUAGCGGGUAGUCCCGGUCUCGAGGGAGGUGGUUUGGCCUUAGUGGGCCAGUUAGUGAAUGGCGUUGGAGCGCGUAGAGCCGUUGAGCCUCGACUUGCGCUGCUACCAAGAAUAACGGAGAACGUAAUGCACCUUGCGAGAUGCGCCUUGCAAAGUUGUACGAGUUGGGUAUUGUACCCUCCGUGUUGGGCCUCUUGGAU
rnacentral:lncRNA from 1 species